rnacentral:rRNA from 1 species
AUGAACGCUGGCGGCGUGCCUCAUACCUGCAAGUCGAGCGAACAGACGAGGAGCUUGCUCCUCUGACGUUAGCGGCGGACGGGUGAGUAACACGUGGAUAACCUACCUAUAAGACUGGGAUAACUUCGGGAAACCGGAGCUAAUACCGGAUAAUAUAUUGAACCGCAUGGUUCAAUAGUGAAAGACGGUUUUGCUGUCACUUAUAGAUGGAUCCGCGCCGCAUUAGCUAGUUGGUAAGGUAACGGCUUACCAAGGCAACGAUGCGUAGCCGACCUGAGAGGGUGAUCGGCCACACUGGAACUGAGACACGGUCCAGACUCCUACGGGAGGCAGCAGUAGGGAAUCUUCCGCAAUGGGCGAAAGCCUGACGGAGCAACGCCGCGUGAGUGAUGAAGGUCUUCGGAUCGUAAAACUCUGUUAUUAGGGAAGAACAAAUGUGUAAGUAACUAUGCACGUCUUGACGGUACCUAAUCAGAAAGCCACGGCUAACUACGUG